AAGAUUUUGGUAUCAAUUUAUACUUGCUUUAUAAAAAGAAUUGGGAAGUUUUGUUUUUCUAGAGUCUGGAAUAUUUCAAGCCCAUUCAAAGUUUUAUUUGCUCUCUAAGGUGUGCUAACAUUCCCAUGUCAGAUUGUUUGAGCCUGGUGUUUUUUUGAAGGGUAGCACUUUGACAACUUUACUUCUUCUCUUGAAAAUAUCCUAUUUAGGCUUCUAUUUUACUUGUGGUUAGUUUUGAUAAAUUAUGUUUUCCUAGAAAUGCAUUUCAUCCAA
rnacentral:lncRNA from 1 species